rnacentral:rRNA from 1 species
GGCAAAGUUAAUAAGGGCGCACGGUGGAUGCCUUGGCACUAAGAGCCGAUGAAGGACGUGACUAACGACGAUAUUCUAGGGGGAGCAGUAAGUACGCAUUGAUCCCUAGGUCUCCGAAUGGGGAAACCCAGCUGCUACUAGCAGUUAUUCAUGAGUGAAUACAUAGCUCAUGUAAAGGUAACGCAGAGAACUGAAACAUCUAAGUACCUGCAGGAAGAGAAAGUAAAAACGAUUUCGUAAGUAGCGGCGAGCGAACGCGAAGAAGGGCAAACCAAGAAGCUUGCUUCUUGGGGUUGUAGGACUGCAACGUGGACUUAAGCAUUAUAGUCGAAUAACCUGGGAAGGUUAAUCAAAGAGGGUAAUAAUCCCGUAGACGAAAUAGCGCUUAUACCUAGCAGUAUCCUGAGUAGGGCUGGACACGCGAAAUCCAGUUUGAAUCCGGGAGGACCAUCUCCCAACCCUAAAUACUCCUUAGUGACCGAUAGUGAACCAGUACCGUGAGGGAAAGGUGAAAAGAACCCCGAGAGGGGAGUGAAAUAGCACCUGAAACCGUGUGCCUACAAGAAGUUCGAGCCCGUUAAUGGGUGAGAGCGUGCCUUUUGUAGAAUGAACCGGCGAGUUACGUUAUGAUGCGAGGUUAAGUUGAAGAGACGGAGCCGUAGGGAAACCGAGUCUGAAUAGGGCGACUUAGUAUCAUGAUGUAGACCCGAAACCUAGUGACCUAUCCAUGAGCAGGGUGAAGGUGUGGUAAGACGCACUGGAGGCCCGAACCAGGACACGUUGAAAAGUGUUUGGAUGACUUGUGGAUAGCGGAGAAAUUCCAAACGAACUGGGAGAUAGCUGGUUCUCUCCGAAAUAGCUUUAGGGCUAGCGUCGAAAUGUAAGUGUAUUGGAGGUAGAGCACUGUUUGGGUGAGGGGUCCGUCUAGGAUUACCAAUCUCAGAUAAACUCCGAAUGCUAAUACACAUGUUCGGCAGUCAGACUGCGAGUGCUAAGAUCCGUAGUCGAAAGGGAAACAGCCCAGACCAACAGCUAAGGUCCCAAAAUAUAUGUUAAGUGGAAAAGGAUGUGGGGUUGCACAGACAACUAGGAUGUUAGCUCAGAAGCAGCUAUCAUUCAAAGAGUGCGUAAUAGCUCACUAGUCGAGUGACCCUGCGCCGAAAAUGUACCGGGGCUAAACAUAUUACCGAAGCUUUGGAUUGAUAUUUUAUCAAUGGUAGGAGAGCGUUCUUAACCGCGAUGAAGGUAUACCGUGAGGAGUGCUGGAGCGUUAAGAAGUGAGAAUGCCGGUAUGAGUAGCGCAAGAUAAGUGAGAAUCUUAUCCACCGUAAGACUAAGGUUUCCAGGGGAAGGCUCGUCCGCCCUGGGUUAGUCGGGACCUAAGGCGAGGCCGAAAGGCGUAGUCGAUGGACAACUGGUUGAUAUUCCAGUACUAGAUAUGAUCGUGAUGGAGGGACGCAGUAGGCUAAGAGAUGCCAGUUAAUGGAUUCUGGUCUAAGCAGUGAGGUGUGAGAUGUGUCAAAUGCAUUUCUCUUUAACAUUGAGCUGUGAUGGGGAAGCAACUACGGUUGCGAACUCUCUGAUGUCACACUGCCAAGAAAAGCUUCUAGCGUAAAGUCAUAUCUACCCGUACCGCAAACCGACACAGGUAGUCGAGGCGAGUAGCCUCAGGUGAUCGAGAGAACUCUCGUUAAGGAACUCGGCAAAAUAGCCCCGUAACUUCGGGAGAAGGGGUGCUGGUGUAAAAGCCAGCCGCAGUGAAUAGGCCCAAGCAACUGUUUAUCAAAAACACAGCUCUCUGCUAAACCGCAAGGUGAUGUAUAGGGGGUGACGCCUGCCCGGUGCUGGAAGGUUAAGAGGAGUGCUUAGACGUAAGUCGAAGGUAUGAAUUGAAGCCCCAGUAAACGGCGGCCGUAACUAUAACGGUCCUAAGGUAGCGAAAUUCCUUGUCGGGUAAGUUCCGACCCGCACGAAAGGCGUAAUGAUUUGGGCACUGUCUCAACGAGAGACUCGGUGAAAUUUUAGUACCUGUGAAGAUGCAGGUUACCCGCGACAGGACGGAAAGACCCCAUGGAGCUUUACUGUAGUUUGAUAUUGAGUACCUGUAAGUCAUGUACAGGAUAGGUAGGAGCCAUUGAAAUAGGGACGCUAGUUUCUAUUGAGGCGUUGUUGGGAUACUACCCUUGACUUAUGGUUACUCUAACCCGCUGGCAUAAUCAGCCAGGGAGACAGUGUCUGACGGACAGUUUGACUGGGGCGGUCGCCUCCUAAAGAGUAACGGAGGCGCUCAAAGGUU